CUAUUGAAAUUAUCAUUCAUAAUAUGAUGACUCAAUCGAGUCUCUCUAACGAGUGGUUAGGUUGGUCGGUCGAAGUCGGGCCUGAUCAUUUGGUAGUUAGAUUCUGAAAAAAAAUCAAGUUACUAGUUAGACCUAAUCAGGGCUUGCAGAGAAGAUCAAAGUUGACUAAAAAGUUACCUGAGAUAAAAUUAAUUACUAAAAAUUAUUUACUGAAAUAAUUGAUUAAGAACCUACCC
rnacentral:lncRNA from 1 species